rnacentral:rRNA from 1 species
AUUGAACGCUGGCGGCAGGCCUAACACAUGCAAGUCGAACGGAGUGGCGGACGGGUGAGUAAUGUCUGGGAAACUGCCCGAUGGAGGGGGGUAACUACUGGAAACGGUAGCUAAUACCGCAUACUAUACGAUGAGCCUAGGUGGGAUUAGCUAGUUGGUGGGGUAAAGGCCUACCACGGCGACGAUCCGUCACUGGUCUGAGAGGAUGAUCAGCCACACUGGAACUUAGACACGGUCCAGACGCCUGCGGGAGGCAGCAGUGGGGAAUAUUGGACAAUGGGCGAAAGCCUGAUCCAGCCAUGCCGCGUGUGUGAAGAAGGUCUUCGGAUUGUAAAGCACUUUAAGUUGGGAGGCGUUACCAACAGAAUAAGCACCGGCUAACUUCGUGCCAGCAGCCGCGGUAAUUC